rnacentral:rRNA from 1 species
UACGUAGGGACCAAGCGUUGUUCGGAUUUACUGGGCGUAAAGGGCGCGUAGGCGGCGCGGUAAGUCACUUGUGAAAUCUCUGAGCUUAACUCAGAACGGCCAAGUGAUACUGCAGUGCUAGAGUGUGGAAGGGGCAAUCGGAAUUCUUGGUGUAGCGGUGAAAUGCGUAGAUAUCAGGAGGAACACCGGUGGCGAAGGCGGAUCUCUGGGCCGAUACUGACGCUGAGGAGCGAAAGCGUGGGGAGCGAACAGG